CUUAUAAAGCUCACCAACGAAUCUCAUGAAGCCAGUGCACACACAUAGCCUCACCCCCAGUACCGAAUCGGUAGUCAAAUCCUCCGAGCACUGGGAUGUCGUCGUCCGGCUCAUCCUACCGGUUGAACAAAGCCGGCCAUCUGCUGCUAGACAAGUGCCCGUUCUGUGGGGAAGGGGAGGUUGAGGUGAUUACAUCCUCUCAGCCUGGCACCCGUGGCCAACAUUUCUACAAGUGCCAGCUACACACGGGAACUAAGACUGGUUGCCGUUUCUUCAAAACGGAGGAGGUUUGCGCCAAGUUCCUUGCCAAGACGGAGACCACAGCGCAACACGCAUGCAUCCCGGAAGUAGUUGGAAGGGACGCAAUGUCUUUCGAGGUUAAGCAUUUUGCCCAGUCCCAUGAGGCCAUAAUCAGGAUGGAGAUGCGCUUGCAGUCGAUGGAACACAAGAUCGACAGCCUGAAACUGAUGUACUACUUGUUAUCUUUUGUUUUGGCUGUUCUCAUAUGUUAUCGAUGAAAUAUAAACGAGCGUGCUCCGUAGAAAUGGUGCUGACCAA